AUUGAACGCUGGCGGCAGGCCUAACACAUGCAAGUCGAGCGGAUGACGGGAGCUUGCUCCUUGAUUCAGCGGCGGACGGGUGAGUAAUGCCUAGGAAUCUGCCUGGUAGUGGGGGACAACGGUUCGAAAGGAACGCUAAUACCGCAUACGUCCUACGGGAGAAAGCAGGGGACCUUCGGGCCUUGCGCUAUCAGAUGAGCCUAGGUCGGAUUAGCUAGUUGGUGGGGUAAUGGCUCACCAAGGCGACGAUCCGUAACUGGUCUGAGAGGAUGAUCAGUCACACUGGAACUGAGACACGGUCCAGACUCCUACGGGAGGCAGCAGUGGGGAAUAUUGGACAAUGGGCGAAAGCCUGAUCCAGCCAUGCCGCGUGUGUGAAGAAGGUCUUCGGAUUGUAAAGCACUUUAAGUUGGGAGGAAGGGCAGUAAGUUAAUACCUUGCUGUUUUGACGUUACCGACAGAAUAAGCACCGGCUAACUCUGUGCCAGCCGCCGCUGUAAGAC
rnacentral:rRNA from 1 species